AGGCAGUGUUGUUAGCUGGCUGCG
rnacentral:miRNA from 1 species